UGCCCUUUUCUACGUAUAGAUGGCAGCAGAGCGUUACAGACGGCGGAAGUCAGCCUGGCAGUUAGAACAGAGAUGAGUGACAGUGUAAACCGACUUCUAUCAGCGUGGCCGCCUGUGUCCUGUAGUUAAACAUAAAAUAGGAAAGAAAGCCACUGUUGAUAACACAAGAGUGUAGGAGAAUGAAGAAGGCUGUGAGAAGCUGUAAUACACUGAAUUUCUGGACAAAUCCCAGGUGGGAAAGCUUAAUCUUUGAAGGUAUGUCACCCAGUCCCGUAAGAUGAUAGAAAUCAGCUAAGAUAAUAUGCGUGUCAAAAUCCAGAGGCGACAGAGGGCCGGGGGGCGGAGGGGCAAGGGGGAAGCAAAAGAGAAACCGGACACAGUUGCAGCGGCGAGUGAUGGCCCGCUGCCUGCAGGCUGUGGGGCUUGGCCUGGACGCCGCCUUCUCACUUAAGCCAGUUACCAGGAGGAAAUGUCAGUCCACGAAGCAGGCAAACAUUCCAUGGGAACAUUUGCUCAAAUGUCAGCAUUUUAGAAAAUAGAACUGCGGUCUGUUAUGGUCUGGUCCCCACGCUGGAUUUGCUAUUCAACGUACAAGGACAAAGAGAUUCCUUCAGAAUGCGUUUGCAAUUAGCAAGUCAUUUAAUGUCUUAAUUAGCAUUCCUAAAUAAUGACAUCAUCACCAUAAAAGGUGGCAGUCGUCAUUAUAAUUAAUAUUUAAUAUGCGUCUGCUUCUGAGGGCCCUUCUGUGGCUGCCCGCAAAUAUCCAAGGUAGUUUUCAAGUUUCAGGUUUGGAUUUGGUGAGAGCACAGGCAUGAGGAUCUAAUAAAGUAAAAUCAUGUUUAUUAGAAACGUGAGGUAUGGAAGCAGGUUAUACAAGAGCAGUUUGUAGCGUGUCCUGAACCGGAGGAUCAGGUCAGCAUCUACUCCUUGGGAGCCUCCUAAGGCUUCUUACUUCCUCGAGGUGAUGCUGCGGCUGUUCAGGAAGACGCUCCCCUGCUCUUCAGCUUCUUCCGAUCUGCUCUCACGCGCUUUAGUACCGCAGACCAGCCUCUGUGUCACAAAACUGAUUCCAAAGGUGUGUCUAACCACUUGCUCAGAUGUAGCGCCUGGCAAGUCUCUCCUGUGACAGCAACUUAUUUCUCACAUAAUUAUUUUCUUACUAAAUUUGAUAUCUUAACAGCCCCUUACCUCAUUUCUGGGUUCAAAAAAUAACACCGAAUAUUAUUUAUUUCUCAGACUUCACAAAGGCUUACUUGACUGUAGCUGCUGCACCGCGGGAAGGGCCGGGGCUGCCAGGGCCAGUCCCACCGCUGCCCUGGGCCUCGGUGUCACUUAACGAGGCAGAAGACAUAUCCCUGCUGCCGUGGGUUACUUGUUAGUGAUGGAGUGGGUCUGCCCUGUCACAGAUCAGUAGAAAAGAAGAUACAUACUUACACGUGUGCUGUUUCUCUGGUUUAAGUAAGCUAUUGCGUUAACCUCAGUUUGUCUGCACAGCUAGGUCUGUGUUACUCUCAUUUUUUUAGUAGUGUGGGCUGUGUAAAUACAAGAACUAAGAAAGGUUUGAAAUAAUCCAAAUUUGACUUUGAUCCUAAACAUGUAAUUAUUUUAUAAUUUUGUGAGCUUUCAAUUUAAUUAAUUAAACGGCAUUUUAUAAGAUGAACUUUCACCAUCAUAUAGUUCUUAAAAUCAAAGCCUAUGUUGUUUGAAUUAGUGACAAUUAUAUAUAAAUUUCUUCAUACAGCAUUAUCAAAAUAUCAAUUAUAUGUGUUUUAGAUUUAGAAUGAAAUAUAUAUCAUUUGUUUUAGGUUGACAUGUGCUGUUUGAAAACAACUUUUAGCCAGAACAUAGUAUGUUUUGCAGGUUGCAUCUGUAUUUUUGGAUUGAACACUUACUUACGUUCGUAAUUGUAUUGCCGGUCGCUUGUAUUCUUUGGGGAAUGAUUCCACGUGGAUUUGGUGUCUCUAGCUCUCUGUCUCUCUCUGCCUGCUUCAUUCUCUCGGUUUCCUCUUGAGGAUUCUGCUUCUCAAGCUGAGCAUCUUCUAUGUUGAUGAGCCUUGGUGCUGCAGCUUUACUGGCACAGGGUCCAGACACUAGUCCAUAAAACCCAGUUUAAAAAGUCUCUAAAGUGUGAAAUAUUAGCUUGUCAUUUUUUUCUCAAGUUUUCUCUUUUGACAAGCUUCGUUGAAUUUUCUUUUUCUUUUUUUCCUAUGUGUUCUGCCAUCCUAAUUCUGGAGGAAUUUAUAGAUAUAUCAUUUGGGAAAAGAUGUAUUUUAACUGACAACAUAAAUAUCUUGGUUUCGCAGUUAUCUGGUCAAAGAUUUUAAAUUGCAAACCGUGAAAAUUCGUUCUUUACAAUAUAGCAUAAAUUACAUUUAGUGCUUUCAGUAAAAACAUUUCAGUAAAAUUUUGACACGAACAGUGUCACAUUAAAAAAAAACUCAAUGUCAGCUCAUAUGCUCAUGAAAUAUUUAAUAGAAACAUUGCAGGUUAAUUUUGUCUUCUUUAAUAAUAAAAUAUAAGUUUACAAAGAGUUUUGACUCAGCUUACUCAUUGUCUUGCAAUUACUAAUACAAAUGAGAAUUUUUAAUGAGAUAAGAAUUACACUUCUCCGUGUAAAACAGCAACGAAGUGCAGAGAUUUAAUGCUUACCUUUACUUUCAGGGGCACCUCAUUUUCUCCACUGCAGUAGAUCUUAAUUCCAGAUGUUAGCACAUGACAUUCGUGUAGUGUUCCAAUCACUUGUUUGUUUGUUUAAUAUUCGCUCUGUGACCUGACGCGCUCUGUAGUAUCAUGAUUUCUCGGUUAUGCAGAUUUUGUUGCUGUUAUUGACUUCUUAUUUGCAGUCUUCCAUCUGUGUUAAACUAAAGACAUAUGUUGUGUUGUCACCUGUCAGAUCCCUUAUGAAUAGUCUGUACUUUACUGAAAUUGUAUUGUGGUUUUAGACCUUUAUGAACAGAGCUUCAUAAAAUUAAGUAAGAUAGUUUGUUGCGUAUACAGAUAUGUUCAUGAAACAUCGCUAUAAUGAUGAAAAUACUGAUUGUUGGAACAAUUAAGACAUUAAGAAAACACAUAUUUAAAUGUGGCUAAUGUCUGAAAAUUUGUGAGUUGUUUAUCUCUUAGAAAUUUGUGAUAAAUCUAAAAGAUAACUAAGGAUUUCACUAUAUUGAAAAAUUUAUAGAUAUGUAUUUAUUUAACCCAGUUUUAAUUAUAUAAUUAUUUUAUGAUUUAAGCCUCAUUGAUCUUGUGUGUGUGAUCAGUAUAUUGAAAUGUAAAGCAUUCUAAAUACUAGCACAGGAUAUUUUUUCUUCAUGAGAAGAAAUAGAAGGAAUUAGACUAGCCAGAGCCUUUUUAGUCUUGCAAAGCAAAACUCAUGAAUGAAACGUGCAGCUUCUCUGGGCCUCAGUUUCCACAUCUGUAAAAUGGGGGGUGAGGCUUUGGGAAGGAAGGGUUAGGUCAGCUGCUCUCUGAGAUCUCUUCCACCCUAAAAUUCAAUGAUGAUAUGAUUUGUUUUUUGCAGUAGUGUUAUGCUUAUCAAUGUAAAUUGUAUGUCUUAUCUAAUGUAAACGUAAGUGUAAUAAAAGCUAAGGAUGAAAAGUUCAGUCUCUUUUCAAAACCAUACUUUUAGGGAAGAAUCAGUGGACAGAUUUUAGUAUAAAUGGUUUUCUCAAGAAAUAUUUGAAAUCCUAAUCUAGAGUAGACUUCUACCUUUAAAAAAAUGUAAUGCAGAAGAGUAGAAACUAGAUGUUUGAUUUGUGGGAUAAUGAGUUUGUCACAUCCGUAUUGGCAACUCUACUAAAUAUACGCUAAGUGCGAGUUUAUAAUGAGAAAUGUCGUGGUUAAAUAUAGACAAUGAUUUUAGAAAACAAAAAGUGAAAGUUUAGAAAAUAUAUUUUUAAAAGCCAACAUUAUAAUUUUACUAGCACAGCCUGAAUUCAUCAUCUGGCAGAAAAAAACAAAAUUAAAUGUUUUAAUUUCCAAGAUUUUUUUGUUGUUGUUCAUAUUUUAUUUGAAAAGGAACUGUCAUUUAUUCCUAGGGUUUAUAAAUGUCAGAGAAAGAUAGCUCAUACUAACAAAAACACGUCUUUUCUUCUUAGCUGUGAUUGUAUUUAUUGUAUUCCCAAGUGAAAGACUCCAACAUUAUAACUAGCAGAGGUUCAAUUAUUUUUAAGUCAUCCAGAUUCCUUUUCCAUUUAGUGACGUUUCAUGUGUUCGAGGUGGCAAACUUGUUUUUAGGUUGGUUUUUGAAGCUUAUUGUCUGUCUUAUUAAUAUUUUAACCCCAAUUAGGUCAUUCCUAAAAUAAUUACUCUGAGCUUUUCCUUCUAUGACUUGUGGAAAUCUUAAAAGUUUUGUGCAGGGAUUUCUGUAAGUGUAACUCAAAUAAUCAUGUAAAUACUUUUCCCCACCUUUCUUCUGUGCAAUUACUAUAAGUAUUUAAGAAUUUGUUUCUAGUUGAAGUUAUAAAUUACAUACGAAUUCUUAGAUUGUUCCUUGUCUUUUGCUAGCUGCAAUAAAAGCUUUAAAAUUUUUAAAUAGAUUACUUUCUUUGUGACUAAAUUUUCAUUAUUUGAAGAGCAAUUAUUAAAAUAACUUAUGUGUAAUUUAAAAAAUGUCAUCCUAGCUUAUUUGGUUUUACUAACAUAAGAAAAUAUUUAAUCAGCUUUAUACAGUGUUUUCUCAUCUUUUGGUAGCUUGUUGAAGGAUUUUUUUUCUUUUCAAGUUGUGGCACUAAUUAGAAAAUACUUGAAAAUUAAUUAUGGAGUGUAAUUAUUGGCAACAUUGUAUCUAUUUGACAGUUCUUUUGUUGUCGCCACCCUAGCCAUCUAGACCGCUGGCUACUUUCUUAUAUAACUGGAGGAUCUAAUUCCUUCAUUUUACGUACCAGAUAACUGAAUCUCAAAGAAAUUCAGCUCCUUGACUUGGGUCCGCCCGCUAGGUUUUGAGGGGCAGAACCAGGGCUAGAGUUAAGGCUUUCUUACUCCUUCUCCAGAGCUAAAUCUUCUCUACCCAUUGCCUUUCACUUGCUUUGUCAAAGUACGACAUGGAUGGAUUGCUUGGAAUUCUUUCAAAGCCUUUCCUGUGUAAUAAUGAUGGCAGAGAUUUCAAGCAUUUGUCAGGGGCCACUAAUACAUGUUGUGACAGCAGUUUAAGGGGGGAGAAGGUGGAUUUAUUACUAAUAAAACAUUAAAACUCUGAUAUUUAAAGCCAAACAUAAUUUACAUUCCAUCCACCCCUCACUGCUCUACCUGUCCGUUUUGAUUUAAACCCCCCUUCCCUCCCCAGCAGCGUCCAUCCCCCUCCGGCCACCGCCGCCACCACCCUCAGCAGAUAGCGGGUGUGGCGGGGGCUAGGGAAGCACUUUGACUAGAACCAUCUGUUUUGCUCGCCCUCAGAAACAAUAGGCCAGACGUUAUUCUCUGGGGAGUUGUGUGUCCACUUACAUACGAUACUAAAGUAGGAAAACACAAAGUCUCCAGACUCCAACAUCCCAUGGUCUGGGGCAGCCUCUGGGCUUCUGGACGUUCUUGCAGUUCUUUCGCUCAUUUGUACCUUCAGCUUGCAGACUUGCAGAGUUUAUGUUUCCUUUUCCUUUUCCUUUCAAAUAGCAUUAUUUUCUGUGUAUUGUGCACAGCGUGGUAACAUUAAGAUGAAACCUGUGGAGGAGAUUCAUAUUGCCCGUCAGUAUACACACAAUAUAUGUCUUUCUUCAGAAGCUGUCUUUUUGGAAAAAGACAAAGAACUUACUCUUUGACUCUUAAAUAUAUGGACAUUUUAAAAUAUGAAACCUACACUCGCUAACUGAAGUGGUCUCUGGAUGUGUGUAUACACACAACUAAAGUACACGCGGGUGUUGGCUUUUUUGGCAGUAUCAUGUGACUUGCUGGGGAUUUUCAUGACAUAACUGUACUUCAGAACUGAUACCCAUCUGUUUGAAUUGGGAACCUCCUUGUUUGACGCAGGUCGAAGAUGUUUUUACUUUUCCCAGGCUGGUGAGAAUGAUUUUCCCCCCUUUCUUUUGCUUAGUCCUGGAAGCAGUGAGCAAUACGCGACCUUCAUAGCGUGAGAGCCUACUGAAAUAUUUUCUAGAACUAACCAUAUGUUGUCCUUAGUGAUUUGAAUUGCAUUUGACCUAGUAAUACCUGUCACCCAACCUGUCAUUUUCCUUAAAAUGGCAAACCAUUGAUGUAGUGAUUUGCACUGCAUCAGUUAACAUUAAGAUUUUUAUUUGUGAAACAGACAGUGAAUAUUUCCCCUACUGGGUUGUGCUUAAACUGUGCUCAAGUUUACAAGUUUGUUGUGUUUUCUAAAACAUAAGGAAAUUCUAGUAGUAAAAGAAACGAGAUAUAUUUGUAUAUUUAUUUGGAAAUCAUAAAAUAUACUUUAUUUCUCUGUAAAGGUAUUAUGCUGCUUCAAAACAAGCUGAUGUGUAUAAACCUUAAUUUAGAAAACAAAUAGGAUUACCACUUUAAACUACAAAAUGAAAAUUUACUUUAUAAAAUGAUUCAUGUGGGAUUCUUUUUAAUAGACUUUCUGUGCCACUUUACUAAAUACUAAAAUCUAUACUUUUAUCCUGUAAAUUAGAGGACAGUUAUAUAAUGUCAUAGCUGUAUCUCUGAUUGAUAACAGGGAUGAACUCUUUAUGUGGCCAUUAGAUAUCCUGGUGUUCCUUUCUGUGAAAUGCCUUUUCCUAUUCUUUGUCCAUUCAGUUCUUCUACCAUUUUUAUUGCUGAUUUAUAGGAAUUCCUGUAAAUCUUUUAUCAGUUAAAUAUGUUGCAAAUACAUUAUUCCAGUUUGUCACUUCUGUGCUAACUUUGUGGCGUCCUUCACUGAACAUAAAUCUUAAUUUUCUUAGGUCAGACCUUUUUUGGGGGGUGCUUUAUGUGAUUUGCUUGAGAAAUCCUCUUGUGGAUUGCAUGCUUUCUCUGAUAGGUUCCACAAUUGAUGGGAAUCUUUCAGCUUCUUUGGAAGUUGUCAUCCACUAUAUAUUGUUGAAAGGAUUCACAUACUAGAUUGAGUUAGACCAAGUGACCGCCAAGGUUCCUUCCAACUCCACAAUUCUAGAAUUCCAUUCUGUUACAGAUAGAGUAAAAAUAAAGGGCUAUGUAGUCUAAAAUACACACCAAAUUUGCUAGAAACACGUUGUAUUUCAUUGAAUCCAAGACACCACUGACUUUCAGAGGCAUUAUUAUUUAUUUUAUGUACCAUACCAUUGGGAAAGGCUAAGCUUUUCUAACUAAAAACUAUGACACAAUUCUUUCCUACCACUUAAAAUUCUUUUAUUUUUUACUUAUUGAAAAGUUCAUUUAGAUGUAUUGAGACAUAGGUUUGUGUCGUAUUUUACUCUUGUGCACAUAUCAAAAUCUAAGUGAAGUGAAAUACGGAAUUGUAGACACUCUUCCUGUGACGGUAUCUGCUGAGGUUGAUGCCAAAUUGGUGGCCCGCUGGGUAUUUGAGUUCUUUCCUUUGUACAAUGACUUUUGUUUUCAUGCUGGGUGAACCUGUGAUGCCCGCUGCGGUACACACUGUCUGACGGAGGGUGGCAGCGUGGCCAGGACCAGGUGUGCUUGCGUCAGGGCGCUGACACCGCGGCUGUGUGAUGCGGCCCCUGAAAGGUGCAGCCUGAGGUGAAGGGACCUCGGGGUGAAGCGUGCUCUGUGCGACGUGUGGCCGUCCGUGCUGCCUUGUCAAGCUGGUCAAGCUGGAGUACAGUGCUUUGAGGGAGCAUUGCCAGCUGGUCCACGGCUUCAGAAUUCCAAACCAGGGGAAAUGACCAAUUGUCUUAGUUUUAAUGAGAAAAUUCCAUGCAGAAAUCUGUCUUCAGUGUUGGCAUAGUUGUGCCUGUACUGUACCUUAGCUGGCUUAACGAAUCAUGGGAUUUUACAGGUGGUCCUUCUUGUCUCUUGCGUGGUGCAGGAAUCUUUGCCGUCGCCUCCCUGACUGGUAUGAGCUCCUCCGUAUGCUUCUGUCUGGACACUCAGCCUUGAGCUGAUCGAUUGUCUUCAGCAGGCUUGUCAGAAACGUCACUGUCUUAAACCCAAAUCUGCUUCUUUCAUCCUCUGUGCCAUUGGUGCGUGCUGUGCCCAGACCACCAAACUACACCGAGGUGUCUGCCCCUCUUCUUAUAUAACUUACGCUUAAAAUGUUGAAUAUAGCCUUAAAUCUGCCCCGUUUUCUCUGAGUGCUAAUUUCAUUAACGUCCCUUGUAAGGUGUGGAUUUAGUAAAGCGGAUGGCACCCCAGGGCCACCAUCUUCUCUUCUGUGCAGACUAAACUCUUACUUGCUUCAUUGGCCGUUGUACUGUGCUAUUGAGUGACAAUUAAAAUGCCCAAGCUUCUCUCAGAUGUUUGGCCCAUUGACUGUGUCUCCCCCUGCCCUACUUUUUUUUUUUUUUUUUUUUUUUGCGGUACACGGGCCUCUCACUGUUGUGGCCUCUCCCGUUGCGGAGCACAGGCUCCGGACGCGCAGGCUCAGCGGCCAUGGCUCACGGGCCCAGCUGCUCCGCAGCAUGUGGGAUCCUCCCGGACCGGGGCACGAACCCACGUCCCCUGCAUCGGCAGGUGGACUCUCAACCACUGCGCCACCAGGGAAGCCCUCCCUCUGCCCUACUUUUAUAAUUUAAUAUUUGGACCUCUUGGAGGGCUUCAGAUUUAAGUUGACAUCUUAUAGAUCUAAGUUAAAUUUUUCCAGUCUGUAGUGAUUAAACAAAUUGAAAGCUUUAUUCAGUGAUACAGUGUUCAGUAUAGCUGCAGUCUCUAGCUCUGUCACUUUCUAAUGCACUCAGUGUGUUUUCAAGCCUGCGUCCACUUCCCUGACGUGUAUGUUGAACAGAACAGACUUGAGCAGAGCCCUUGGUGCAUCCAGCAGGAGGUUCCCCAGAGAUGAGCAUCAGUGUUGGCCUUCAGCCCCCUUGGGAGGGUCAGUUAGACAAUUUAGAAUCUCCCUGUUUUCUCAAAGGGCCUGUCUUUGAUUAUCCUGUUGACAAGGUAUCAUGAAGAACUUUAUCUGGGCCAGAAGAUCGUUGGGAAUUAGCACAGGAUUGUUUCUUGAGAAAUGUCUUCUCCCUUAAGCACUUUUUUCCCAUUAUACCAGGUCAUUAAAAAUUUUUUUUAAUAAAAUCUUGUUUUUAAGUUACAAAAGCAACAUCAGAGAAAGUUUGAAAAAUAAAAAAAAAUUAUUUAAAAUCUUAACACUGGAACGUAUGUUUUACUGUGUUUUUUAAAUGUUUUUCUUUCUAGUCUGUUGAAUUCCAUGGACUCAUAAUAUGCAUUCAAUUUUGUGUCAUUUUUAGAAUGAAAAUGUUAUAAAAUAAUUCUUUUUAAAAUAAUAAGCAGCAUUUCAGUGACUGUAAUCUUACGUGUCUUUCAAUUUGAAGAAUCAUGCAGAAUGACUUUACAUUUAUAUGGACAUUAUAAUUAAAGUGCUCUCUCAUGCA